AGCAGUGGGGAAUAUUGGACAAUGGGCGAAAGCCUGAUCCAGCCAUGCCGCGUGUGUGAAGAAGGUCUUCGGAUUGUAAAGCACUUUAAGUUGGGAGGAAGGGCAUUAACCUAAUACGUUAGUGUUUUGACGUUACCGACAGAAUAAGCACCGGCUAACUCUGUGCCAGCAGCCGCGGUAAUACAGAGGGUGCAAGCGUUAAUCGGAAUUACUGGGCGUAAAGCGCGCGUAGGUGGUUUGUUAAGUUGGAUGUGAAAUCCCCGGGCUCAACCUGGGAACUGCAUUCAAAACUGACGAGCUAGAGUAUGGUAGAGGGUGGUGGAAUUUCCUGUGUAGCGGUGAAAUGCGUAGAUAUAGGAAGGAACACCAGUGGCGAAGGCGACCACCUGGACUAAUACUGACACUGAGG
rnacentral:rRNA from 1 species